rnacentral:rRNA from 1 species
AACUUUCAACAACGGMUCUCUAGGCUCUCGNAUCGAUGAAGAACGCAGCGAAAUGCGAUAAGUAAUGUGAAUUGCAGAAUUCAGUGAAUCAUCGAAUCUUUGAACGCACCUUGCGCCCCUUGGUAUUCCGAGGGGCAUGCCUGUUUGAGUGUCA